rnacentral:rRNA from 1 species
UUGAAAGAUGGUUUCGGCUAUCGCUUACAGAUGGGCCCGCGGUGCAUUAGCUAGUUGGUAGGGUAAUGGCCUACCAAGGCAACGAUGCAUAGCCGACCUGAGAGGGUGAUCGGCCACACUGGGACUGAGACACGGCCCAGACUCCUACGGGAGGCAGCAGUAGGGAAUCUUCCGCAAUGGACGAAAGUCUGACGGAGCAACGCCGCGUGUAUGAAGAAGGUUUUCGGAUCGUAAAGUACUGUUGUUAGAGAAGAACAAGGAUAAGAGUAACUGCUUGUCCCUUGACGGUAUCUAACCAGAAAGCCACGGCUAACUACGUGCCAGCAGCCGCGGUAAUACGUAGGUGGCAAGCGUUGUCCGGAUUUAUUGGGCGUAAAGCGCGCGCAGGCGGUCUUUUAAGUCUGAUGUGAAAGCCCCCGGCUUAACCGGGGAGGGUCAUUGGAAACUGGAAGACUGGAGUGCAGAAGAGGAGAGUGGAAUUCCACGUGUAGCGGUGAAAUGCGUAGAUAUGUG